GAUGAACGCUGGCGGCGUGCCUAAUACAUGCAAGUCGAGCGAACGGACGAGGAGCUUGCUUCUCUGAUGUUAGCGGCGGACGGGUGAGUAACACGUGGAUAACCUACCUAUAAGACUGGGAUAACUUCGGGAAACCGGAGCUAAUACCGGAUGAUAUUUUGAACCGCAUGGUUCAAAAGUGAAAGACGGUUUUGCUGUCACUUAUAGAUGGAUCCGCGCUGCAUUAGCUAGUUGGUAAGGUAACGGCUUACCAAGGCAACGAUGCGUAGCCGACCUGAGAGGGUGAUCGGCCACACUGGAACUGAGACACGGUCCAGACUCCUACGGGAGGCAGCAGUAGGGAAUCUUCCGCAAUGGGCGAAAGCCUGACGGAGCAACGCCGCGUGAGUGAUGAAGGUCUUCGGAUCGUAAAACUCUGUUAUUAGGGAAGAACAGAUGUGUAAGUAACUGUGCACAUCUUGACGGUACCUAAUCAGAAAGCCCCGGCUAACUACGUG
rnacentral:rRNA from 1 species